rnacentral:rRNA from 1 species
GAUGAACGCUGGCGGCGUGCCUAAUACAUGCAAGUCGAACGAACAGACGAGGAGCUUGCUCCUCUGACGUUAGCGGCGGUCGGGUGAGUAACACGUGGUUAACCUACCUAUCCGACUGGGAUAACUUCAGGAAACCGUAUCUACUACCGGAUAAUAUAUUGAACCGCAUUGUUCCAUAGUUAAAGACGGUUUUGCUUUCACUUAUAGAUUGCUCCGCGCCGCAUUAGUUAGUUGGUAAGGGAACGGCUUAACAAGGCAACGAUGCGUAACCGACCUGAAAGGGAGGACGGAUAGACGGGAAGUGAGACAGGGUCCAGACACUGAGGGGAGGAAGCAGUAGGGAAUCUUACGCGAGGGAGGAGAGGCGGAUGGAGCAACGCCGCGGGAGGGAUGAAGGAGUACGGAUGGGAAAACUAUGUAGGUAGGAGAGAAGAAAUGUGUAAGUAACUAUGAAGAUAAUGACAGUACCGAGUCAGAAAGCCACGGCUAACUACGUG